rnacentral:rRNA from 1 species
UACGCCCUACGGGGGAAAGCAGGGGAUCGCAAGACCUUGCACUAUUGGAGCGGCCGAUAUCGGAUUAGCUAGUUGGUGGGGUAACGGCUCACCAAGGCGACGAUCCGUAGCUGGUUUGAGAGGACGACCAGCCACACUGGGACUGAGACACGGCCCAGACUCCUACGGGAGGCAGCAGUGGGGAAUUUUGGACAAUGGGGGAAACCCUGAUCCAGCCAUCCCGCGUGUGCGAUGAAGGCCUUCGGGUUGUAAAGCACUUUUGGCAGGAAAGAAACGUCGCGGGUUAAUACCCCGCGAAACUGACGGUACCUGCAGAAUAAGCACCGGCUAACUACGUGCCAGCAGCCGCGGUAAUACGUAGGGUGCAAGCGUUGUCCGGAAUUAUUGGGCGUAAAGGGCUUGUAGGCGGUUGGUCGCGUCUGCCGUGAAAUCCUCUGGCUUAACUGGGGGCGUGCGGUGGGUACGGGCUGACUUGAGUGCGGUAGGGGAGACUGGAACUCCUGGUGUAGCGGUGGAAUGCGCAGAUAUCAGGAAGAACACCGGUGGCGAAGGCGGGUCUCUGGGCCGUUACUGACGCUGAGGAGCGAAAGCGUGGGGAGCGAACAGGAUUAGAUACCCUGGUAGUCCACGCUGUAAACGUUGGGCACUAGGUGUGGGGGCCACCCGUGGUUUCUGCGCCGUAGCUAACGCUUUAAGUGCCCCGCCUGGGGAGUACGGCCGCAAGGCUAAAACUCAAAGGAAUUGACGGA